UCAGCUACUUCUACUUGUUGAAGCUCAGGUUCCACAGUGGGUUGCUCGUCUACUCGCAUCAACACAAUACAUACAUAGUAUAGCCAAAAUCAACAUCACACCAAACAGAUGAAUGAAAUAUACAGUAAAAAUCUACACAUUAAAAUGAGAUCAUAGGAACUGGAAUCACUAAAUUUGGAGUUAUAGAUUUCAAGUUAUGAAUUUCCUAAGGUUUAAUGUGAUUAAAAUAGGAUUAUAUGUUAAAUUAAUGUUCUUACUGUUUUUAUGCCAAAACAGAGAUACUAAGUGAUAGAGAAUAUUAUCACAAAAUUUUAGCAACUGGAAUGGUUCAAUUUGGACUAAAAAUGAAUUUUCUAUGCACUAAACAAGUUUUAGGAAUUCUUUUAUAUUAAAAAUCAAUUUCUGUAUUUAUUUACCUAUUUUAUAUGUUCUCUGGACUGGGCCUCAAUUACUGAAAAGUGUAGGGGUUCAAGCGUAACACUUCCACAGACUCAGGGCACUGUUAUGGUGGACGGCGGGUUGAUUGUGGCAAAGGGCAAGGGCUCUUUAACAAUUUGCGCACGGCGAAGGGGUAUCUUGUGUUUUCAGCCGUCCGAUCUAGAGUCUAGGGUUUAGAUUUUAUGAAGCCUAACGCAUUCUGAACCGUCCGAUUAAACCUACGGCCCGGAUUGACUCAUCCAGGAGGUAUUCCCGAUUAGAUCUGCACCGCAUAUCAACGAUCCCACGGGUACCUUUCGCCCAACCCAUCUUCAAAUCCCGACCGGUCAUCUCAGUAUCUACGGCGACGACAUCGUCUUCUUCCCUCGGACGGCAGAGCGGUGCCAGCAAGCGCCAGGAAGCAAGCGGCGAGCAGGGGGAUGAGUUACCCGCGGUGCGGCGUGCAGCGCAACUAAAACCUACGCACCGAGGAAAUACUGUUGAAUCGCAGGGAUGUUCUCUUACCGUUUUCGAAGCACCGGUGUGGUUGUCCCCGGAGGCUGGCGGCGCGCCAGAUCUCUUGACGCCGACAACGAGGCUCCCGGUCUCUGGCUUAGCGACCCCGUGGACGAGUCCUUGCGCAGUACAAGGAUGCGCCACCAUAUGGCACCGCGUGAAUAUUGCGAACGCGCUCGACUUCACCCGCGAUCAAACCCACUCCCUUCUCCCUUGGUUUCUCUCUCUUAAUGGCUGCAAUCCAGGCGGCGCACACCUACCAUUUUUUUUGCUCCAGGUCAACCACGACGGCCAACAACUAGGACCAUCCGAC
rnacentral:lncRNA from 1 species